CUGUACUAUAAUAUCUUUAUAUUAAGUCUCACGAAUAUGGGCGAGCUAAAAUAGUUGUAUAUUUUAGUAUAUAAAGUAAUUGUGACAAUAAUUAAACAAUAUAAUUGUUUAGGGGUGAAAGGCUUACCAAGCUCAUGGAUAUCUUGAUAGGUAAGAAACAUAUAUAGUAUUUUCUUAAACCAAAAAUGCUAAGGUUUUUGGUAGGUAUUAAUUUUUUAAAAUUAUUAUAUCUAUUUGGUUAAUUUCUAUAGAUUAAAUUAAGAAAAUAUUACAUAAUUAGUGAUUAUACACUUUAUAACCUAAUAAUUAAGAGUUAUAUAUAAAUUAAAUAUAAUGUACAUAUUAGUACUACAUAAGAUUUUAUUAAGGAACUCGGCAAAAAGAUUUUUCGACUGUUUACCAAAAACAUAGCUUUAAGUUAUUAUUUAAGGUUAUCCCUGCUCAAUGGUAAACUAAAUAGCCGCAGUACCUUGACUGUGCAAAGGUAGCAUAAUCAGUUGGCUUAUAAUUGAAGUCUGGCAUGAAUGGGUUUACGGAAAUUAGCUGUCUUAAUUUAAGUUAUAGAAAUUACUAAAUAAGUGAAAAUUCUUAUAUACAUAAACUAGACGAGAAGACCCUAGAAAUUUUAUAGAUAUUUUAUACUUUUAUUUUGUUGGGGCGACAAGGUAACAUUUAACUUACUUAUAUAAAUGAGAAAAUACUUAUUUGAUUAAAUAAAUUACUCUAGGGAUAACAGCACAAUUUAUUAUUAAGUUUGUGACCUCGAUGUUGGACUAGGACCUGUUCUAUUCAAAAAAUAGACUAUUUGGCUCUGUUCGAGCUUUGUUUCCUACAUGAUCUGAGUUCAGACCGG
rnacentral:rRNA from 1 species